GGCAGAGGACCUUGCUUCCAGAGAGAGCAGGGGAUAUGGACUGCUGAGAGCCCCCUACAGCCAGGUUCCAGUAACAGAAUACUGAGUCUGGAGUCAUUGAUCUCUGUAAUGACAGCACUGUCCCAAGCUAUUCAAGGUCUGCAUAUUAAGAUCAAGGAGGGGAAGAAAACAUAGCUUAGUCUUCCUAAUUCUGAAGAGACUGAACAGACCAAAGGAAAAAGCCUUGGCUAGAGAUACAUGAGUCAAAGGUCAGCUGCAUCUCAGCAUGGCACACACAUGACUGCCUUGCAUUGCCUCGUAGGGAGAAAUACAUGGUGUGUACCCAGGACCAGCUACUGGCAUGCACUUCACUGCUGGAAAAUUUGAAGGUAAAUGUAAAGCCCUAGGAGCAAAACAGUUCUCAUCAAGUUUAACACUGGUCACCCCACUCUUUAAUGUACAGGCAACCUCUGUGCCUUUACUGUCAACUGUUCAGUCACUAUGCUACUUUUAAUUUUACUG